UUAACAAAAUGUGUCUAAUACAUACAUGCAAAAUAAUUUACCUACAAUGAUUGUCAAACAAAUAAAAGAAAUUAAACAUAUGAUGGUAAGAGAAGUAUAAAGUAGAUAAUUUCAUAAUAAUAAGGCACUUAUUUCUCACAAUUAUGGUGAAUAAUUAAAUUCAUUAACAUAAUUAGAGUGUUGUGGCACAAUUGUAAAUAGUUUGAAAAUAAUAGGUAUUUAUUUGUUUACAUGGCCGUCUACUUCAAAUUUGGGUUUUAUUUGGAUGUUUAAAAUGAGAUGGGUUUUUGUCAAGAAAAUAAGUGUUGCAUGGGUUUAUAUCUAAAGAACCCAUCUUUUUAUUAACACCCCACAAUCUUAUGAAUACACCCCAGUUUUUUGAAUUCUUGUUGAACUACCUCUUUUACCCUUAUUUAAAUUUGAAAAAGAAAAAGAGAAAAAAUAACAAACCCAAUACCCACAAAUGCAUCACGUAUUCCCUUCUCAACAGCCAAACAACAUGCACCAUCAUUAACGAAUUCCAUUGAUCUCAAUAAUUCAAUUGUUACAAGAAUGGUCUUGAUAAU
rnacentral:lncRNA from 1 species